rnacentral:rRNA from 1 species
UUCCCCUAGUAACUGCGAGUGAAGCGGGAAAAGCUCAAAUUUAAAAUCUGGCGGUCUUCGGCCGUCCGAGUUGUAAUCUGGAGAAGCGUUUUCCGCGCUGGACCGUGUACAAGUCUCUUGGAACAGAGCGUCAUAGAGGGUGAGAAUCCCGUCUUUGACACGGACUACCAGUGCUAUGUGAUGCGCUCUCGAUGAGUCGAGUUGUUUGGGAAUGCAGCUCAAAAUGGGUGGUAAAUUCCAUCUAAAGCUAAAUAUUGGCGAGAGACCGAUAGCGAACAAGUACCGUGAGGGAAAGAUGAAAAGCACUUUGGAAAGAGAGUUAAACAGUACGUGAAAUUGCUGAAAGGGAAACGAUUGAAGUCAGUCGCGUGUGCUAGAACUCAGCCUUGCUUUUGCUUGGUGCAUUUUCUAGUGUACGGGCCAGCAUCAGUUUUGGCCGCCGGAAAAAGGCCUUGGGAAUGUGGCACCUUCGGGUGUGUUAUAGCCCUUGGUUGUAUACGGUGGCUGGGACUGAGGAACAUAGCAUGCCUUUAUGGCGGGGCUUCGGCCACCUUCAUGCUUUGGAUGCUGGCGUAAUGGCUUUAAACGACCCGUCUUGAAACACGGACCAAGGAGUCUAACAUGCCUGCGAGUGUUUGGGUGGAAAACCCGAGCGCGUAAUGAAAGUGAAAGUUGGGACUUCUGUCGUGGAAGGCACCGACGCCCGGACCAGACCUUCUGUGACGGAUCCGCGGUAGAGCAUGUAUGUUGGGACCCGAAAGAUGGUGAACUAUGCCUGAAUAGGGUGAAGCCAGAGGAAACUCUGGUGGAGGCUCGUAGCGAUUCUGACGUGCAAAUCGAUCGUCAAAUUUGGGUAUAGGGGCGAAAGACUAAUCG